rnacentral:rRNA from 1 species
CAGUAGCCGCGGUAAAACGAAGGGUGCAAGCGUUACUCGGAAUUACUGGGCGUAAAGCGUGCGUAGGUGGUGGUUUAAGUCCGUUGUGAAAGCCCUGGGCUCAACCUGGGAAUUGCAGUGGAUACUGGGUCACUAGAGUGUGGUAGAGGAUAGUGGAAUUUCCGGUGUAGCAGUGAAAUGCGUAGAGAUCGGAAGGAACAUCUGUGGCGAAGGCGACUAUCUGGGCCAACACUGACACUGAGGCACGAAAGCGUGGGGAGCAAACAGGAUUAGAUACCCGUGUAGUCCCUGUCUCUUAUAC